UUCAACUGUAAACUACUUUUGAGAAGUUUGUAAUAAGAAUGAAAUAAGUCUUUUAGUUUUUAUAUGAUUGUUUCCAUUUCAUAAAUAAUUCAAUGUUGUCCACAUAGUAGUUGUCGUAUAAUGAUAUUCGUUCUCUUUCUAAUGGCAGUACAGCAGAUCACUGAAGGGAUGCUGAGACAUGAAUUGGGAUUCUUACCACACUCAAAAGAGUCAAUAUCAUACCUUGAAAUGUAACUAGAAGAAACUGAUAAUAAUAAUGAUUCUAUGCAAUAUUGCAGUGCAGCAGUUCACUCAAGGCUUGCUGAGACAGGAAUUUGCAUUCAUACCAC